CAGAGCGCGUGCGGCCGCCGAGCACAUGGACCCGCUGGUCAAGCGGGCCCUGCAAGGCCAGGAUGAAGAGAAGCUGCGAGCCAGUAUGGAACCAACACCCCCAGAGCCCCCCGAAUGGAUAUCCGCGUGGAAAGGAUGUUGGCAGCCCGGGUGACCUCGGAGUCACGGCUGGAUCCACCCUCUCGCCUGGUUUUCUUGACUCAACCAAAAUAAGAAGAUGCCUUCCAGCAGGUUGUGCUUACAGACUACGUGGAGCUUACUCUCCAAAUUUCCUGAACCCUGUGGAUUUACAGUAAGAUGCAGUUUCCUGGGGAGUAAUUCUGGUGGAUACAAUUUCUGGAGUACUACACCUGGCUUGCCUUGAGAUGGUACAAGUAGCCGAAUGGAUUCUUCUAGCCUGGAUGUCCACUGGGAACAAGGACCGUAGCUCAGAGGACUAUAUCUCUGCCCUUGACUCAAUGGGAAUAUUUGCUCUCAUCUCUUGGGCUACCUGGAACUCUCCUAAAAUCAUAUCCCUUAAGCAUUCCAGAAGGAUUUUGAGAACCAUUCUUUCCUAAAUCAAAACUGGAAUAUUUGGGGAAUUGGAAAAUUUAGGAUCCACAACGAUCACACGCUACAGGUUGCUGUCUUAAACCCCCAGCAGCAGAGAGUUUGCUCUAUUGGAAUCAGAGAGAGAAAAGAAGACUUAAGAGAUUCAGAGGGACACCCAGGAUCAGAGGCUUCGGAGAAAUCAGGAGCAGUGAAUGAUUGAAAUGGACCUUUGAGAUUACAGUGUGGAACUGACAUUGCCAGUUAAGUCCGGGCAGAUCUUAAUUGAUUAAUUUAGUCAUUGAAGCAGAGACAACCUAGAAGCUGGGAUCAGCCUCCCCAUCUGACAGUGUGCUGGAAAAUGAGGUGGAGUGCCCUCUGAUGAUCCCCUCCAUCCCCCAACCUCCUCUUUCGAAGGAUUUGUUUUACUGGAAAGAUCACUGCUGGGAAACAGUCUGAAGAGAAGUCCCCGCCUGCCUUUCUGUGAGAUCAUCCUGGCGUUCUUUAAGAAAAAUUUCAAGCUGGUGCUGAAAGACAGUGCUCAGUGGAGUCUUGAAUGGUGAUUUCCUGAGACUACCCACCACCCGAUGAGAAGCAUUGACUUAAGAGAUGCCAAGUAACUCAGCAGAUAUCAUGCAGAUGAUAAAUAACAAAGAUGGAAGCCUUCACACUGGAGACAAUUCUAUAAGACAGCUGAGUUCUCUAGAGCUGAUAGGAGACAGACUUGCGCGGGUGAUAGAUCCAGACGUGAAUUUGGCCCUAAGAGGAUGGAACGCUCUGCAGAAGACAUAGAAGGCUCCUGAAACUUGGGAAGGUGCCUAGAAAUGCAGAGAAGAGUGAAGAAGGCAUUUUCCCUCCACUGCCUAGGAAGCUCCCACCAUAUUCAAAGCUUUCUAUGAGGCUCCGGUCAUUGGCUGAGCUGUUCUCUUUCAAUUUCGUUGGAUGGAAAUUAGUCUGGAAAUUUUACUUUCAAUUAAACUCACUUGUUGAACUGCCUCCAUCUUCAAAGGAUCCCAUUAGGGUUUCCCAUUGGCUUGGAAUUUGCCAAUUAGGUUAUGCUGGCUGGCCAGAAAGCUGCAGAGAUUCUCUUGUCUUGGUCUCCCGGGAUUAAAGGUACCUGGAGGUACAGCAGCCACAUUGAACCUAUGAGGUGAUGAUAAGCCAUGCAACUAGAAACCAGAAUGGAAGAAGAGAAGAAGCUGGAUCCUUGACUGAAUUGUUGAUGGAUCAUCAUCCCAGGGCUGAGACCACCUCCAGAUUUCUUGUUUGGUGAAACAGUUCCUGAUUGUUUACAUUCCUUUAUGUUGAGCAGUCUCUUACUUGUAGCUGAAAGCAUUUCUAAUAGAUAUUCAGAUUAUCUGCACAGCGAGGGGCAGCCAGAGCUGGGGGGGAGGAGGGUUCCAAGCUAGAAUAUUCUAUGGGACCAUAGAUAAAUCCCUUAGCUUCUCUAUGAAUUCCUUUGCCUAUCUGUGUAAUGCUCAAUAAAUGUAAAUUGAACCCUGAAUGAGAGACAAUGACACUAUUGAAGUCAUGAUUGUCAAUCUUAUUAACUGACUAAAUACUUAACAAAAAGAUUGGAACUCUGCCGGACACACAGAAAGCGGCUGUGACAGGGCUUGCCAAAUAGAAUGAGAAGAAAGCAGUCAUGUUUACAGGCUUUCUUUUACAUCUUGAUCCAUCCUCAAGCCUCUGUGGUCUUUAAGCAGAAUCUUGACCCCUUCACUGCUGGGGCUCAUGGAGCAUGAAAUGACCCCCAAGCUCUGUCUCUAAACACUCACACUAAUAGUUUCUUUUUGACACAGAAGACUUCUUGGAGAAUGCUGGCUUGUGAAAAAGAAGGGGCUGUGACCACCAAAUCGUGUCAGUAGAUGACCAAAAUACCCAAAGCAAUUCAUGCAAAUAGACUCAAGUCUCUCUGGGCAAACCUUCUGGAAGGCUCUAGAAGUUUUGAAGCUCAUUUUUGAAAGGGUCUUUCCAUCUGGUGGCCUUUUCUUUUGCACCUCCUCCCCAUCUUGCUCAUCAGAAGUAGAGGGAUGAGACGAAGGUUAGUGCUUGGGCUCUCAGCCCUUUCUGUGUAGUGAGGGACCGGGCUGCUAGGCAUGUGUGAAGGAGCAGGUGUGAUUUGGGAUUCUGGUACCCCAAUGGCUAGCCACUGAGAUCACCUGAAGUUGACCAACAAGUAGGCAUUAUUUCAAAAUAGUUCUUGAUCAUGGUAUUAAAAAACCAACCAGUAUGUGUGCCCAUUAAAAAAAAAAAAAAAAGACAAAAAAAAACCCCAAACUUUUGCCAAAUAAACAAACAAACCUCACUUUUGGAAAGUUCCUGCUGAAUGUGUAUCCUUCUGACUCACUCCUUAUCCUUUCUGUCAGAAACACCCCAGAAAGGGGGCCUUGCCUUUAAACCACUCUCCUAUCCAACCUUCCUGCUUCUGUCUGACUUACCUUCCUUCUUCAGCAACCAGGAUCCUUUCAAAGUGAGUACCAAAAGAUGGGGGGAUUCUCCAGCCAUAAGUGUCCUCUGAAAUUCUAUCUUACGUAGAAUAAAAUCUCUAGGUUUAUACAGUGUCCCCUGCAUGGAUGGUAGCUUAUUUUUUCUGCCACUUUCCUACUUGUUCACUCCACUCACUACCUGGCCUUCUUAUGUUACAGAUUCCCUGAGUACAUUCUGGCCUCAGUCUUUCCAUGAAGUAACUCCCUUUUCUAGAACAUUGUUUCCUGCAUAACCAUCUGCUUUUGUCCUCACCAAAUUCUGAUCUGCAUUUCAAUGUUAAUUUUCAGACAGGCAAUCUCUGCCCAUCCUCUAAAGUGUUCCCCCUUCUUCUUUGUUGUCAUCUGUAUACCCUAAGUCUAAGACACUGACCUUAUUGUAGACUAAAUCUGUUAGCAUUUCACAAGAACACAAGCCUAGUGAUGAAGGAGCCAUUGUAACAUUGUUGGAAUAGCUACAGAAUCCAGGCUGUUAAGCAUUGGAUGCUUGACUAAGUAAUGAAGCUCAAUAAAACAUUUUGACCAA